CCCCCUCAAGAUGAGAUUUCCCAACUAGUAAGACCCCUUGAAGACGACGAGGUAGAUAGGUUGGAGGUGGAAGUGCAGCAAUGCAUGGAGCUGACCAAUACUAAUCGGUCGAGGGCUUAUCCAAAAUCACCCCA
rnacentral:rRNA from 1 species